rnacentral:rRNA from 1 species
CAGCCGCCACGGGAAUACAGAGGGUGCAAGCGUUAAUCGGAAUUACUGGGCGUAAAGCGCGCGUAGGUGGUUUGUUAAGUUGGAUGUGAAAUCCCCGGGCUCAACCUGGGAACUGCAUCCAAAACUGGCAAGCUAGAGUAUGGUAGAGGGUGGUGGAAUUUCCUGUGUAGCGGUGAAAUGCGUAGAUAUAGGAAGGAACACCAGUGGCGAAGGCGACCACCUGGACUGAUACUGACACUGAGGUGCGAAAGCGUGGGGAGCAAACAGGAUUAGAGACCCCCGUAGUCCCUGUCUCUUAUAC